UGAAAGACAUGGGUAGUGAGAUGCUGUACUUGUGUACCUCACUACCGUGUCUUUU
rnacentral:pre_miRNA from 1 species